rnacentral:rRNA from 1 species
AUGAUACGAGCCAAUGUCACGGAAGAUGAUGAGCAAACUAUGGUACGCUUAUUGAAUGGACUCAAUCAUCCCAUUAAGAAGAUCGCCAACUUCCAACCAUACUUGAACCUCAUCGAGCUAGUGCAUCAAGCUACCAAAGCGGAACGUCAAGUGCAAGAAGACUUCAAGUAUGCCAAGUUCUCAUCCAAGUCAUACGGCUUCUCCAACACCCAAGCUUCAAUGACUCCACCACCGUCUACCUUAACCAAGCCUUCUACAAGCAACGUCGACAAGUCGAGUUACAAGAAAACUUCGACAACUCCAAGUCAUCCUCCUACUACAAGCAACUUCAAGCCGAGAGAUUCAUCAUCAUCUACCCCAACCGAUGAGACCGUCAAGACAAGUUCCUUCAAAUGCUUCACAUGCGGAGGCCAAGGCCACAUGUCCUUUGAGUGUACCAACAAGAGGACCAUGAUCCUCAACGACGAUGGUACAUACGACUCCAUGAGCGAAGGAGAAACGAAAGAACUUGAGAAAGUCGCCAUGCACAGGCAAGUGAACGAUGAAGAGGAAUAA